AUUGAACGCUGGCGGCAGGCUUAACACAUGCAAGUCGAACGUGUGGCGGACGGGUGAGUAAUGCUUUGGAAUCUUGCUUAUGGAGCGGGAUAACUACGGGAAACCGUAGCUAAUACCGCGUACCAUACGUUGAGCCCAAGUGGGAUUAGCUUGUAGGUGCGGUAACGGCUCACCUAGGCGACGAUCCCUAGCUGGUCUGAGAGGCUGAUCAGCCACACUGGGACUGAGACACGGCCCAGACUCCUACGGGAGGCAGCAGUAGGGAAUAUUGCACAAUGGGCGCAAGCCUGACGCAGCCAUGCCGCGUGUAUGAAGAAGGCCUUCGGGUUGUAAAGUACUUUCAGUAGGGAGGCGGUACCGACAGAAGAAGCACCGGCUAACUCCGUGCCAGCAGCCGCGGUAAUUC
rnacentral:rRNA from 1 species